rnacentral:rRNA from 1 species
AAAAACAUCACCUCUAGCAUUUCCAGUAUUAGAGGCACUGCCUGCCCAGUGACAUCUGUUUAAACGGCCGCGGUAUCCUAACCGUGCAAAGGUAGCAUAAUCACUUGUUCCCUAAAUAGGGACUUGUAUGAAUGGCCACACGAGGGUUUUACUGUCUCUUACUUCCAAUCAGUGAAAUUGACCUUCCCGUGAAGAGGCGGGAAUGACUAAAUAAGACGAGAAGACCCUAUGGAGCUUUAAUUAACUGAUUCACAAAAAACAACACACAAACCUAACCUUCAGGGACAACAAAACUUUUGAUUGAAUCAGCAAUUUCGGUUGGGGUGACCUCGGAGAACAAAACAACCUCCGAGUGAUUUAAAUCCAGACUAACCAGUCAAAAUAUAUAAUCACUUAUUGAUCCAAACCAUUGAUCAACGGAACAAGUUACCCUAGGGAUAACAGCGCAAUCCUAUUCCAGAGUCCAUAUCGACAAUUAGGGUUUACGACCUCGAUGUUGGAUCAAGACAUCCUAAUGGUGCAACCGC